GGACACGCGGGACACAUGGUAGGCUCUGGUUGGCCUAGGGACACCUGCCACCAUAACUGCGCCAGGCUCCGUUGCCUAUUUAAGCCCCCCACCUUUCCUCCAGGGGCUCCACGACAUCUUUCUUUCGCCUGAGAGCUUAGCCACUCAGCCACUCCAUCGGUGCCCCUUUCGACUCCGAGCGUCCUCCGCACCGAUCUUUGCCAUCUCCACCGGCUUUCCACCGUUUCCAGUCCCCCGAGUCUCUCCAAGGGGUUCCCCCGUUGGGGCCUCCAUCCCGGAGGCCAAUCUCAAGAUGAUGACACGG
rnacentral:lncRNA from 1 species